rnacentral:lncRNA from 1 species
UGCUAUGCAUGUAUACCAUGUUUCACUUUGAAAAUAAAGCUGGAUUGCAACUGAAUAUCUCUCCUUGUAUUUCCUAUAUUCCACACAACUAAAUUAAACCAGCGAGUUAGCAUGUCAUUAUUUACAAAGAAACACCAAAAUAACCUAAUCAACCAUAUCCCUUCUUUAAUAUUUCCUUCCUUUUUUGUAAUUCUAAUUCUCCAACAUGGCACAAGGAUUUAUCCCUAUUUAAUCUCACACUAAGAUCUAAACUUAGUGUGUGGCAUAUAUAUUAAUACCCCCAACCUAAGAUCUGAGAAGAGCAAGAACAACAAAACUGAGAAAUUUCACUUGGUUAUUUUAAGUUUUCGUCGAACUGGCAAAAUCAUUUGUAGGCAACUCAAGUUAUACGCCGCGUGCAAGAAGUGAACUUCCUCAGAAACCUCACAAAUGUACGACAAGUCAGGUAAGUAACAAUACAUUGAGGAUGAAAAAAAUGCUUAUCGAUACAUGAGUUGAGAAACCAAUCAAAUACCUUCAGAUUCAAUGACGCAAUUAUCCUAGAAAGAUCUUAAGCCUGGAGAACCCUUCAACUGAACAAAAAACAGCAAGUCAACAUAGCAACAACAACACAAGAGACAGCUUGUUAGCAAAUCCAGCGGUAAACAAAAAAACACGCUACUAAUUCUUAAUAUCAUUAACCUGUAAGAUUUGUACACGUAAAGUCAUGUUAGUGAUUCUUACACCAAAUCAGUAUACCACCGCCAUAGUACUACACCGUCUAAUUUCUAUAUGAUUAUCAGACUGAAGAAAAACGUUGCAGCCCCCUUCCGCCACUUUGCGGAUGUGACCUCGUGUUCCCUCCGCUUCAGAUCAGGAACCUGAGGGAGGAAGAA